CUCGACAAUGGAUAUCUCGGCUCUCGCAUCGAUGAAGAACGUAGUGAAAUGCGAUACUUGGUGUGAAUUGUAGAAUCUCGUGAACCAUCAAGUAUUUGAACGCAAGUUGCGCCCGAAGCCUUCUAACUGAGGGCACGUCUUCUUGGGAAUCACG
rnacentral:rRNA from 1 species